CUAUUUCUACCCAACUGCACAACAUGAGCAAACACUGCAAAGCAGCCCUUCUUGCUGCUGGAAGGUGGGACUGGCAUCGACUGAGCACUUCUCCCUGUGCACGGUGACUCCUUACCUUUGCUGCCCGUCCCCUGGUGUCCCUCUGAGCCGGGAGCUUGAGAGGCAUCUCCUUCCGGAAUCUCACGAACCGAACGCUGAUAUUUUUUAGAAUGCCUGGCCAGGGCUUCGUUCCCUAGCUGGGUUUCCUUUCCCUUCUACACAUACCAAAAAGAAAAACCCAUGCUCAGGGCUUGCUGAAUUAAUGAACCACUUCCCUUAUCUAUUUUUCCUGUUAUCUAAUUCUGGAGGGAAGCUGGUUGCUGGGAGGGAGCUGGAAGACAGGACUCACAACGUCUCCCUCCCACGGACUGAGGACAGCCAGGAGAGGCAGGCCCAGGCUCCGGGCUGCCCCUGAGAGUUUGCUCCAGCAGGCUUGGGCCUGAGGUGCUCAGGGACACUGCUCUCACCAUGGGAGCGCGGCUGCAGCGAGCGGAAGGAGCCGCCCGGCCCUCGGCCGUGGAGCCAGACCCCCAGGCUUUGCCCGCGCCGCGCUGACCUGGACGCGGCCCGCAGGCCCGUGCACUCGGCCACCUCUCCCCUGCCGCGCCCGUCCACGCCGCCGACCUCCGGGCCGGGCGGAGUCGCCCUCCCGCGCCGCCGGCCGGAACCAGCGGACUCUGCGGGGCUCUCCCGCGUACAGCACAGCCCGGCCUCCGGCCCGCCGCUGGAUUGAGGACGCUUGCGUUUCCGAGCGCUGCGGUUUUCCCGCGCGGACUGUGGUCUCCGUGUCCGUGGCAGCCCUCGCCG
rnacentral:lncRNA from 1 species